GCUGAGACAAGAGGAUCACUGUAAGUUUUAGGUCAGCCUUAGCUACUUAGUAAGUCCAAGGCCAGCCUCGACUAUCUAGAAAGACCCUGUCUCAAAAA